GACGAACGCUGGCGGCGCGCCUAACACAUGCAAGUCGAACGGAGCUUAGAGAGCUUGCUUUUUAAGCUUAGUGGCGAACGGGUGAGUAACGCGUGAGUAACCUGCCCUAGAGUGGGGGACAACAGUUGGAAACGACUGCUAAUACCGCAUAAGCCCACGGUACCGCAUGGUACUGAGGGAAAAGGAUUUAUUCGCUUUAGGAUGGACUCGCGUCCAAUUAGCUAGUUGGUGAGGUAACGGCCCACCAAGGCGACGAUUGGUAGCCGGACUGAGAGGUUGAACGGCCACAUUGGGACUGAGACACGGCCCAGACUCCUACGGGAGGCAGCAGUGGGGGAUAUUGCACAAUGGGGGAAACCCUGAUGCAGCGAUGCCGCGUGGAGGAAGAAGGUUUUCGGAUUGUAAACUCCUGUCGUUAGGGACGAUAAUGACGGUACCUAACAAGAAAGCACCGGCUAACUACGUG
rnacentral:rRNA from 1 species